UGCAGUCGAGCGAAUCGAUGGGAGCUUGCUCCCUGAGAUUAGCGGCGGACGGGUGAGUAACACGUGGGCAACCUGCCUAUAAGACUGGGAUAACUUCGGGAAACCGGAGCUAAUACCGGAUACGUUCUUUUCUCGCAUGAGAGAAGAUGGAAAGACGGUUUCGGCUGUCACUUAUAGAUGGGCCCGCGGCGCAUUAGCUAGUUGGUGAGGUAAUGGCUCACCAAGGCGACGAUGCGUAGCCGACCUGAGAGGGUGAUCGGCCACACUGGGACUGAGACACGGCCCAGACUCCUACGGGAGGCAGCAGUAGGGAAUCUUCCGCAAUGGACGAAAGUCUGACGGAGCAACGCCGCGUGAACGAAGAAGGCCUUCGGGUCGUAAAGUUCUGUUGUUAGGGAAGAACAAGUACCAGAGUAACUGCUGGUACCUUGACGGUACCUAACCAGAAAGCCACGGCUAACUACGUGCCAGCAGCCGCGGUAAUACGUAGGUGGCAUAGCGUUGUCCGGAAUUAUUGGGCGUAAAGCGCGCGCAGGUGGUUCUUUAAGUCUGAUGUGAAAGCCCACGGCUCAACCGUGGAGGGUCAUUGGAAACUGGGGAACUUGAGUGCAGAAGAGGAAAGUGGAAUUCCAAGUGUAGCGGUGAAAUGCGUAGAGAUUUGGAGGAACACCAGUGGCGAAGGCGACUUUCUGGUCUGUAACUGACACUGAGGCGCGAAAGCGUGGGGAGCAAACAGGAUUAGAUACCCUGGUAGUCCACGCCGUAAACGAUGAGUGCUAAGUGUUAGAGGGUUUCCGCCCUUUAGUGCUGCAGCUAACGCAUUAAGCACUCCGCCUGGGGAGUACGGCCGCAAGGCUGAAACUCAAAGGAAUUGACGGGGGCCCGCACAAGCGGUGGAGCAUGUGGUUUAAUUCGAAGCAACGCGAAGAACCUUACCAGGUCUUGACAUCCUCUGACAACCCUAGAGAUAGGGCUUUCCCCUUUCGGGGGACAGAGUGACAGGUGGUGCAUGGUUGUCGUCAGCUCGUGUCGUGAGAUGUUGGGUUAAGUCCCGCAACGAGCGCAACCCUUGAUCUUAGUUGCCAGCAUUCAGUUGGGCACUCUAAGGUGACUGCCGGUGACAAACCGGAGGAAGGUGGGGAUGACGUCAAAUCAUCAUGCCCCUUAUGACCUGGGCUACACACGUGCUACAAUGGAUGGUACAAAGGGCUGCAAACCUGCGAAGGUAAGCGAAUCCCAUAAAGCCAUUCUCAGUUCGGAUUGUAGGCUGCAACUCGCCUACAUGAAGCCGGAAUCGCUAGUAAUCGCGGAUCAGCAUGCCGCGGUGAAUACGU
rnacentral:rRNA from 1 species